UACCCGGAGAGAUCGUGGAAGGAGAGGUCGGGACACGGCCUCUGGAGUGACAAAAGGGGAAAGACUUUUGGGGACGGAGCAUCUUGCAUGACGUAAGGUGAAGAGCUGAGUGUCGUCUGCGCUGCAGCUCGAAGCCCGCCGGUGCACGGGCGCUCCCUGGCGCUUCAUGGUCCUUGAGGCUGGGGCUGCUGGCGCUGGGCGGUGCGACCUCAGGCCCGGAGGCUUCCUGCUGUUGCCUCCCCCACCACUCGGGUUCCGACAGCUACUCUACUCUAGAGCUGGCCCCUCACAUCUGUGUGGUAGGCAGUGGCCCAGCUGGUUUCUAUACUGCCCAACACCUGCUGAAGACUGCUGAGAGGUGGAGC